UACGGAGGGUGCAAGCGUUGCUCGGAAUUAUUGGGCGUAAAGGGUAGGUAGGUGGUCUCAUUUGUCUGGGGUGAAAUCCUUGAGCUUAACUCAAGAAGUGCCCCAGAAACGGUGAGACUAGAGUCCUGGAGAGGGUCGUGGAAUUCCCGGUGUAGCGGUGAAAUGCGUAGAGAUCGGGAGGAACACCGGUGGCGAAGGCGGCAUCCUGGACCGGUAUUGACGCUGAGGAGCGAAAGCGUGGGGAGCAAACAGG
rnacentral:rRNA from 1 species